rnacentral:rRNA from 1 species
GCGCGAAAACUUGGCAAUGCGAGAAAUCGUGACCAGGGAACUCCAAGUGGCUGGGGUAAGACCCAGUCUUUUCUUGACUCUUCAACGGUCUUGGAAUAAGGGGUGGGUAAGGACGGUGCCAGCCGCCGCGGUAAUACCGGCGCCUCAAGUGGUAGUCGAUUUUAUUGGGCCUAAAACGUCCGUAGCCUGUUUGGUACAUUCGUGGGUAAAUCAACCAGCUCAACUGAUUGAAUUCUGCGAGCACGGCCAGACUUGGGACCGGGAGAGGUGUGGGGUACGCUCAGGGUAGGGGUAAAAUCCUGUCAUCCUGAGCGGACCACCUGUUGCGAAGGCGCCACACUAGAACGGAUCCGACGGUCAGGGACGAAGCCUAGGGGCACGAACCGGAUUAGAUACCCGGGUAGUCCUAGGUGUAAACGCUGUGGACUUGGUGUUGGGGACUCUCCGAGAUUCCUCAGUGCCGAAGCGAAGGUGAUAAGUCCACUGCCUGGGGAGUACGGUCGCAAGGCUGAAACUUAA